GCUGGCUUGGCAGAUAAGUGCUUUAAAUUUAGAAUUUAAAAAUGUAAAUUCAAUUUACAGUUAGUA
rnacentral:tRNA from 1 species